rfam:Glossina brevipalpis unplaced genomic scaffold Scaffold10, whole genome shotgun sequence.
GGGGGAAGGUUUAGUACGUAGGCGUCAUGGAUGGCGAAUCGCGCAUGCUAUUGGCACGGCCUAGUAGUAUCUAUGAAGAUUCUCACCUCC